rnacentral:rRNA from 1 species
GAUGAACGCUGGCGGCGUGCCUAAUACAUGCAAGUCGAGCGAACAGACGAGGAUCUCUCUCCUCUGAAGUUACCGGCGGACGGGUAAGUAACACGUGAAUAACCUACCUCUAAGACUUGGAUAACUUCGGGAAACCCGAGCUAAUACCGGAUCAUAUAUUUAACCUCAUUGUUCAAUAGUGAAUGACGUUUUUGAUGUCACUUAUACAUGGAUCCUCGCUGCAUUAGCUAUGUGGUAAGGUAACGGCUUACCAAGGCGACGAUGCGUAGCCGACCUGUGGGGGGGUUCGGCCACACUGGAGCUGGGAGACGAUCCAGGCACUGAGGGAAGGCAGCAGUAGGGAAUCUUCCGAACUGGGCGAAAGCUUGACGGAGCAACGCAAGGUGAGUGAUGAGGGGCUGCGGGUCGUAAAACGCUGUUAUGAGGGAAGAACACAUGUGUAAGUGACGAUGCACGUCUGGACGGAACUUAAUAAGAAAGCCACGGUGAAUUCGGU